rnacentral:rRNA from 1 species
ACGGAAGGCAGCAGUGGGGAAUAUUGGGCAAUGGGCGAAAGCCUGACCCAGCGACGCCGCGUGAGGGAAGAAGAUCUUCGGAUUGUAAACCUUAGUCAACAGGGAAGAAGCAAGUGACGGUACCUGUGGAGGAAGCCACGGCUAACUACGUGCCAGCAGCCGCGGUAAUACGUAGGUGGCGAGCGUUAUCCGGAUUUACUGGGUGUAAAGGGUGUGUAGGCGGGACUGUAAGUCAGAUGUGAAAACUGCCGGCUCAACUGGCAGCCUGCAUUUGAAACUGCGGUUCUUGAGUGUGGGAGAGGUAAGCGGAAUUCCCGGUGUAGCGGUGAAAUGCGUAGAUAUUGGGAAGAACACCGGCGGCGAAGGCGGGUUACUGGACGAUUACUGACGCUGAGACACGAAAGUGUGGGGAGCAAACAGGAUUAGAUACCCUGGUA